rnacentral:rRNA from 1 species
AACGAACGCUGGCGGCAGGCCUAAAACAUGCAAGUCGAACGAACCUUCGGGUUAGUGGCGCACGGGUGAGUAACGCGUGGGAAUGUACCUUUUGGUGCGGAAUAACGUAGGGAAACUUACGCUAAUACCGCAUAAUAUCUUCGGAUCAAAGAUUUAUCGCCAAGAGAUCAGCCCGCGUUAGAUUAGGUAGUUGGUAGGGUAAUGGCCUACCAAGCCUACGAUCUAUAGCUGGUCUGAGAGGAUGAUCAGCCACACUGGAACUGAGACACGGUCCAGACUUCUACGGGAGGCAGCAGUUAGGAAUAUUGGACAAUGGGGGAAACCCUGAUCCAGCCAUGCCGCGUGUGUGAAGAAGGCCUUAGGGUUGUAAAGCACUUUCGGCCGGGAAGAAAUCGCAUGGGUCAAUACCCUGUGUGGAUGACGGUACCGGAAUAAGAAGCACCGGCUAACUACGUG